rnacentral:lncRNA from 1 species
GAGUCUUCUCCAGAACAUCUCUCGAUUAAACUCCUCGGUGGUCUCCUGGGCUUCGCCGACUUGUGGGUGUGGCGUGUGGGGGCCGAACGGUGGCGAAUGGAAAAGCUGAGGUAAGCGGAGCCACCUCCCUCGCCCAAGCCCGGCUCCCCGCCGCCGCCCCAGCCCGCCCUCUCCGCGACCCCGAGCCCGGCCUCUCCCCGACCCCGAGCCCGGCCUCUCCCCGACCCCGAGCCCGCCCCUGCCGUCGCCCGUUCUAACUCCGUCAGCUCACCCCGCACUCGAGGCAGGAGCAACCGCAGCUCCUCCGCCAAGUGCCGGAGCUGCUCCAAAGGCGAAGCCAGGGUGGGGACUGCGGCUGCAGGUGCAGUUGCGCUCGCCAUCUCAGUCGCUUGCCGAAGGCCGCAAACACAGGCCUCCGCUGCCACUGCCGGAGCCGCACUGCGACAGCCGCUCCACUUCCGGGCCACAGCGUCAAGGGCUCGUUUCCGUCAACAAGCCGUCCAGCCCCGUCCCAGAGGCCCUGCCCUGCCUCCUCCCGCCACGAGGCCCGGCCCCGCCCGAGGUCCAGCACCACCCAUCCCGUUAUCAGAGACCAGGCCUGGCCCCGCCUCCUCCCGCCCCGCCCUGUCCCCUGAGGUACAGCACCAACCAUCCCACUCUCAGAGGCCAGGACAGGCCACGCCUUCUCUUGCCCCUUAGGCCAGGCUACACAAGCAAGCCUCAGGCUCACCGUCUUUCUUAUUCAUCAUUCAUUCAUUUAUUUGAUUAGUUGAAAACACUUCCGACUAAGGAAGCAGAGAGCCCACAAUCCUGUGGGAAAACAGGCCUGGGAACUAAUAUCUCAGGGGUAGUGAGGGUCGGGCCCAGAUCCUCAAAGGUUCCCUGCCCCUGAAAUUGCACCUUUGACAGCUGCUGAAUUCCAAGCACAGCGGUAAGUGCUUUACAUGGGGUAACCCUAAAAAACACACUGGGCCUCAGACACUCCCGUACACACACCCAACCUCUACCCUGUGGAUGUCCUAGAUAAGGGUUUUCUCUUCACAAAGGUAAAUCAACUCUUUGCCUCCUUAGGGAGGGAAGGAAUAAAGGCAUUAUUUUUGAGACUUUUCUGCAGUCCAUUCUGCAGGUAUCAGUAGUGGGUAAUCCCUCCAACGUCCAGGACUCCAAACGAGCAGCUGCUCCCUAAAGCUCACCCACCAAUCCUGGCCCUCCACCUGCUACUGGGGUAGAGGCCUGGGCUACAGACACAGAGGCUGGGCUUCUGCCCAGCUGCCAGUGGUGAGACAUGGCCUUCAGGAGCUCAGGUGGCUUUUUAACUGCACCAUGAAGAUUCCAAACUUGGUGGAGUUCAGUGUCCACACAUAACGAAUGAGAACAGGUGUCAGCAGUGUCAACCAGGUCCGCAAAGGGGAGAAUAAAAAAGCUAGGGUGCCGUAUGUUGCAUAAAGAAAGUAGCAGGAAUAAACCUGCCAGAUGUACAGCAGUAGCAUAAGUAGGUGAACAGGCAUAAUUUUCAAGUAUUUUCUUUGAUGGAGAUGAGACCUGAAGUUGUGACCAAAGCACCGCUGCAGCAAGCUCCAACACAUGUAAGCCAUCAAGGGGAUGUUAAAAAACGCCAGCUGGAAAAGAACAGAACCAUAGCUUACUCCCAAGUCCUUGGAAGAGUUUGGUCUUAAUAAUGCAUUAUUAGUGGAUCCUAAGACUAUGCUGCUAUCUGUCUUGGCGUUAGCUAAUUUACUUCAAGCACAGUUGCUUAUAACACAACAGCUGACUUGUGGCUAGUUGUGUAUUUGCCCAUGUCCUUUUAUUCAUCUUAGAGGCAGGUAUCAUUUAAUUUAUGCUGAAGUCCCAACUUGUAGUACAGUAUCAUAUACACAGUUAAUACCCAAUGGUGUUAAGCUGGAAUUGAACUGAGUAAAUGUAUACACACACAUACAACAACCCCUCUUUUUUGGUGGAGUGAGGGGAGGACUUGGCUAUCAGUAUUUUUUUUCUUACCUCCAUUUUUGUUUGAGGUAGCAUGAUAAGUACUGGAAUAUAAAUUAGAGUAUCUAAAUUAUAAUCCAAGUUGAGCUGCUGUAUGAUUCAUUCAUUUAACAAAUAUUUAUUGAGCACCCAUUAUGUAGCAGGCAUGAGCUAGGCUCCAAGUUGGGGACACAAUGGCAAACAAGUUAGAAAAGGUCCGUCAUAGAGCUUACAUUCUAACAGGGAGAAGACAGACAAAAAAAAAAACCAAAAAAUAUAAUUACAGAUCGUGAUUAGUUCAAUGAAGGAAAGAACUGGGUCAUGAGAAGGUAACUGGGAGAAAGGCUCUCAGAGGCCAGAAGGACAAGAAUGAAUCAGCGGAGGGAAGUGCAUUCUAGGCAGAAGGAACAAAUGAAAAGCCCAGAGGUGGGAGAGGUCUUGGCCUCUUUAAGGAAGUGCAUGCAGAGCAUGAGCCAGGUGGAAAUUGGGGCAGUCGGCAGGACCCAGAUCACUGCUCUGCUUCAAAGCAUUUCAAGCUGAAAAGUAAGUGAGCUGAUUGUAAAGUUUUUAAAAGAGCACACUGGAUGCUCUGUAUUAAGCUGAGAGUAAGGAGGCAAGAAUAUCAGGGAGAAGACCCAGGCAAGAAAUAAUUACAACUUAGAUUAGGAAAACAGAAAUGGAGAGAAGUGGAUGGAUUCAAGAUAUGCAUUGGAAGCAGAUCAAAUAAGGUAGAGCUUGCUGGUGAAAUAGAUACAGGGUAUGAAGGAAAGGGAAUAAUUGAGGAUACAUCUUGGAGAAAUCAGGUGAAUGGUGGAGUCAUUUAUUAAAACUGGAAAAACAGAGAGGAACAGGUUUGGGGUGGAAAUAAUGUUCCUAUCAGAGAGACAUCACAUGAAGUUGAGAUGCCUGUUAGACAUCUGUGGCCAUUGGAUAUAGAGGCACUUGAAGUGCAGAGAAGAGGUCUAGAUCAGAGAUAUAGAUUUGGGAUUCAUGGGUCUGGAUGAUACAUAAAAUCCAUUAUUAGUGUACUAUUUAUUAGAAUAUGAAUGUAAACAUUUACAAAGGAAAAAACCCUGCCUUUUGGUAAGGCUCAGGAUUCAUUUGGUAUGAGAGAGCUCCUUAGAGACAGCCUCCAUCAACAUAAUAGAAAACUGCAAUGAGGCUGGGUGCAGUGGCUCACGCCUGUAAUCCCAGCACUUUGGGAGGCCGAGACGGGCGGAUCACCUGAGGUCAGGAGUUCGAGACCAUCCUGGCCAACACAGUGAAACCCUGUCUCUACUAAAAAUACAAAAAUUAGCCGGGCAUGGUGGCAGGCACCUGUAACCCCAGCUACAUGGGAGGCUGAGGCAGGAGAAUCACUUGAAUUAGGGAGGCAGAGGUUGCAGUGAGCCGAGACGAUGCCAUUGCACUCCAGCCUGGACGACAAGAUCGAGACUCCAUCUCAAAAAAAAAAAAAAAAAGAAAAGAAAAGAAAAGAAAACUGAAAUGAACCCAGGACCUACUCAUGUAUAUAAUGCUGCUAUGCAGAGAAUAUUCUGGACUUGGGUCAGUGUUUGCUAGGCAGAAGUCUUUCCUACUUGGCUGUCUCUAAUCCUGUUGGAUCAUGUUCUACUGCCCUGUUAGAAGGCCAUGAACUUAUUUUGAAUGUUUUUGGAUCUCUUCCAAAACUUCAAAUUUUGGUCCACUAACUCCAUUAGGUGAGUAAAAUAAAGAAACUGUUAGAUAAAUACUUUUCAAAUCUGUUUAUGUAGUUUUUCUAUGGAUCAAGGUUCUUUGUGUGUUUAUUUUAAAGGAAUCAAAUGUAAACCUAAUACAUCAGUUUGUUUCCUAAACAAGUACAUUGCUAGGAAAGCCCAGGUCUGGUUUUUGAAUAAUGCAGUUUCCACUGAAUAACUGACCCAUUUUUUUAAUGUGUCUAUUUUUUAGUUUCCUCCCUCUAAAAUAUUUUCCUUCUUCAUCAUCAUAAUCAGUUUUGGUUUACUCAGAAAUCUAAAACUUUUUCUACCAUAAUCCCUUGUUUCAUUUUUUUGUCAAUGAAAAAGCACAGUGAAACAAAAACAACAAAAACUUCUUUCACCUCUUAUAAACACUUCAUGACAAAAAUGUAUUUUAGGCUAGGCAUGGUGGCUCACGCCUAUAAUCCUAGCACUUUCGGAGGCCAAGGCAGGUGAAUCAUCUGAGGUCAGGAGUUCGAGACCAGCCUGGCCAACAUGGUGAAACCCUGUCUCUACUAAAAGUGCAAAAAUUAGCCAGGCAUGGUGGCACAUGCCUGUAAUCCCAGCUACCCAGGAGGCUGAGGCAGGAAAAUCGCUGGAACCCAAGAGGUGGAGGCUGCAGUGAGCCAAGAUUGCACCACUGUGCUUCAGCCUGGGCGACAGCAGAACACUGUCUUGGGGAAAAAAAAAUGUAUUUUAGAUGUUUACAUGAGAGUGGUGGAAGGAGUUUAGGAAGCACUUUAAAAGCAAAUGAAGCUUUUAUUAAAGACUGCCCUGCAAGUAAAGUAGGAAAGAUGAUCUAUGGUACUUAAUUCUGGAUUUUGGAUUUAAUUCAUAACUGUUAUGCAAUUAGUCUGACAAGUCCAAGAUGUUCUUAAAUUGCUUUUCUGACUUCUUACCUGGAGAAUUCCAAUUAUAAAUGUUAUGCUGCCUUGUAGGAAAUGUCCAUUAACAAAUAUCCCAAAGGAAAAGCAGCAACCAAAUUUGCCAUCAAUGAUUUCACCAAAAAACCAUGGACCUAAAAGAGGCAAUGGACAAAAAAGGAGGAGAUUAAAUAACUAUAAUUCUGAUUACAUAUAUCAUGAGAUACAUUUAUAGGAAUAAAGCAGAGAUAUGAGACUAGCCAUCUAUAAGCAUUUUAUUUCAUAGCCUUCCCUCUUUGCUAGUCUCUGUGUUGUACUUGAUAUCCUUGCUAACCAACUAUUUUUUGGAUUGUGAAAUUGUCUUAGUAGACACUAUACCUAGAACAGAUAUGUGUCUUAUAGAUUCUAGAAACAAAAAAAGCACACUCACAUUUUUGAAAAUUCCAUUGCAAUAAUAACCUCAAUAUAAUGCAUUAACAUUUCCUUUAAGAUGUAAAGAGGUAUUCCACAGAAGUUAAAUUUCCAGAUGAUUGAGAUUUACUCCUUAAAGCAAAAAAACUUCAACUACUUUUUGAAAGAAAUCUUUCUAAGAUGCACUCGUUAAUAUAAUGAAUGUAUUUUAACCUCUUCUUGAAGGCCCACAGUCAUUACUUUGUAUAUCAACUACAUAAUCACGGUUACCAUGUAGAAAGUUUAACUUGCUUCAGUUUUCUCAUCUGGAAUGCCAUGCUGACUUUUCUAUCCUCCCUAUUAUUAUUUACUGCCCCAUUCUCAGUGUGUGAGUUUCUAGGUAUUAUUAUUAUUAUUAUUGUCAUUUUGUCUUGUAAGUGUGCUGGUCUCCAUAAGAGUGUCAAGUUGUUUGUCAAGAGUGAUAAGGGACAGUUAGAUUUCCGUUUGCAAAAUGCAAAUACUAGGCCAGGCAGGGUGGCUCAUGCCUAUAAUCCCAGCACUUUGGGAGGCCAAGGCCGGCAGAUCACCUGAGGUCAGGAGUUCAAGACCAGCCUGGCCAACAUGGUGAAAUCCUGUCUGUACUAAAAAUACAAAAAUUAGUCAGGUGUGGUGGCACAUGCCUGUAAUGCCAGCUAGUCGGGAGGCUGAGGUAGGAGAAUUGUUUGAACCCAGGAGGCAGAGGCUGCAGUGAGCCAAGAUUGCACCACUGUACUCCAGCCUGGGCAACAAAGCAAGACUACAUCUCAAAAAAAAAAUGCAAAUACCAUCAUUUGCUGGCAAGAAUAGGGUUCAGCUUUAAAAAGUCAGAGGCAAUUUUCUCAGAUAUACUUUAUAUAAACUGCAUUAAAGACAUAUGAGUCUAAAAAGGUGUUUUGUCUUCAGAUUUCAACUUUCUGAAUGGAACAAUUCUUCCCUAUUAAUGUAUUUUGUUUUGUUUUGUUUUACAGCCCAGGAACCAAAUUACUUGCUUUACCUCAUUGUGUAAGACAAGCGUCAAAAACAGCUUCAACCUAUCUUGAACAAGAGAACUUACCUCCAAAGGUGAUCUGCCAUAGCUUACACAGAAUCAUAAAGUGUUAUAUUUUCAUUUGUUCUCUGGUGGGAGUUACUAAUGAGCAAAGUGCAAAGGGAGGAUAAAAGUGUAAAAUAAAGACUAAGACUAGGCAACAAAUAGGCUAAUGUACUCCUAAUUGACUUUUAGUCACUAAGAAACAUAAGCAAAAAAGCCUAAAAGAUUUAUGGUGAUUUCUGCUUUUAUAAGUGUGGCUAAGUGACUUUAUAAGUACAGUCAUGCAUUGCUUCACCAUGAGGAUGCAUUCUGAGAGAUGUGUCCUUAGGCAAUUUUGUCCUUACAUAUCAUACACAAACCUACAUGAUAUAGUCUAUUAUAUACCUCCAGCUCCACUAGAGUCUUAUGGGACCACCACUGUAUAUGUGGUCCCUUGUUGACUGAAAUGUUUGUCAUAUGCCACAUGAUACUACUGGGUAUAAUAAUACAACAGAAGAGUGCAGAUAUGCCUGAACUAUUGCUCAUCUCAGUUUCUCUCUUUUUUGAGCUGAAUUUUUGAGAGCCACACAUUAGUAAAUAUUCAAUGAACUACAUACUAAGCAAAAUAGGCAAAAUACCAAUGGAUAGAUAUAUAUACUUUUUUUUUAGAUGGCGUCUUGCUGUGUUGCCCAGGCUGGAUUUGACCUCCUGGACUCAAGCAGUACUCUCGCCUCAGCCCCCAAGUAGCUGGAACUACAGGCAUGAGCCACCGUACCCGCCUACCAGUGAAUAUUUUAAUGAGUUAAUAGAUAAUAAACACAGAAGAUAGGUAUAAAUUCUGAUAAAGGUAAUGAUGGAAGUAAAACCUGUGAUGAGAUAUAGACUAAAACUUUAAGAUAGACAAAGAAGGUUGCUCUGAGGAGGUGCUAUUUAAGCUUCUAUUAGGUUUCUACACAAAUACUAAUUCUGUAGCAGUCUUCUCAGCACCCUUAAGUUAACUUGGUGUUAACUAAAUGUCCUUUAAACAUGUUAGGCACGAGCUUUAUUUUCCAAAACCAUGUCCCAGAAAAUGAUUUAUGAAGAAUCCAUGAGCCAUUUGUUAUACCCUCAAGAGUCUAAUUCUAUUGUCAAAAUUGUUAAUAUAUUCUUUGGCAAAAUUCCCCAUAAUCUGUACUAAUUUACUUACCCAGCACUGUAUACAGGGUCAACAACAACACAGAAUAGUAGAAGAUGUUUAUUUUGCUCAAGACAUGAAGAGAAAAUGAGGUCAGAUUUAUAAACCCUGAAGGUUCUAAAAAACAUAAAGUUGAAAAACCCAGUGAACACAUGCAAAGUUCAGUUUCUUUAUGACAUUUUCUAGAAGAUUUUCAUGGGCUAUCUACCAUAUAUUCAGCAAAUCCUUUGUUAGAUGGUAACUAUACAGAUGACACCACUUUAAAUUCAGAAUUUGGCAGGAAUCCUGGUGAGACAGUUCACUUAGAAUUGCAAAAGGCAGAGAGUUCGAAGAAAUGGUGUAGUUGUGAGAUAUUUUAUAUAUAUCAUAAGAUACAUAAUUGUUAUAUAUAUCACAAUAUAUCGAACUCAUAUAUAUAUGCACAUAUAUGUACAUAUACAUAUAUAUAUAAUAACUGAAAGCAAUGGACACACCUACCAGAGCACCAUACUAUUUUAUCUUUAUAUAGGUUUGAAAGAUAGUGGUUUGUUCAAAGGAUGAUCAAGUCUCUGUUUUCUAUGGAAUUUAGUGUCCAAAUGUACAAACUUCAAAAAGGUAUAUCAAAAUACUUCAAAAGUAAAUUAAAAGAAAUAUCAAAAUAUCUUCAUUCUAAUCAUAAAUAUGAGUAUCUGUCCAAAUAUGGUCCUUUCCUAUACAUUAUACAGUUCUUUUUUUUUAAUUUUUAUUAUUAUACUUUAAGUUUUAGGGUACAUGUGCACAAUGUGCAGGUUAGUUACAUAUGUAUACAUGUGCCAUGCUGGUGUGCUGCACCCAUUAACUCGUCAUUUAGCAUUAGGUAUAUCUCCUAAUGCUAUCCCUCCCCCUGACCCCACCCCACAACAGUCCCCAGAGUGUGAUGUUCCCCUUCCUGUGUCCAUGUGUUCUCAUUGUUCAAUUCCCACCGAUGAGUGAGAACAUACGGUGUUUGGUUUUUUGUCCUUGCGAUAGUUUACUGAGAAUGAUGAUUUCCAAUUUCAUCCAUGUCCCUACAAAGGACAUGAACUCAUUUUUUAUGGCUGCAUAGUAUUCCAUGGUGUAUAUGUGCCACAUUUUCUUAAUCCAGUCUAUCGUUGUUGGACAUUUGGGUUGGUUCCAAGUCUUUGCUAUUCUGAAUAGUGCCACAAUAAACAUACAUGUGCAUGUGUCUUUAUAGCAGCAUGAUUUAUAGUCUUUUGGGUAUAUACCCAGUAAUGGGAUGGCUGGGUCAAAUGGUAUUUCUAGUUCUAGAUCCCUGAAGAAUCACCACACCAACUUCCACAAUGGUUGAACUAGUUUACAGUCCCACCAACAGUGUAAAAGUGUUCCUAUUUCUCCACAUCCUCUCCAGCACCUGUUGCUUCCUGACUUUUUAAUGAUUGCCAUUCUAACUGGUGUGAGAUGGUAUCUCAUUGUGGUUUUGAUUUCCAUUUCUCUGAUGGCCAGUGACGGUGAGUAUUUUUUCAUGUGUUUUUUGGCUGCAUAAGUGUCUUCUUUUCACAUAGCAGAUUUGGUCUUUUCACAUAGUCCCAUAUUUCUUGGAGGCUUUGCUCGUUUCUUUUUAUUCUUUUUUCUCUAAACUUCCCUUCUCGCUUCAUUUCAUUCAUUUCAUCUUCCAUCGCUGAUACCCUUUCUUCCAGUUGAUCGCAUCGGCUCCUGAGGCUUCUACAUUCUUCACGUAGUUCUCGAGCCUUGGCUUUCAGCUCCAUCAGCUCCUUUAAGCACUUCUCUGUAUUGGUUAUUCUAGUUACACAUUUGUCUAAAUUUUUUUCAAAGUUUUUAACUUCUUUGCCUUUGGUUUGAAUUUCCUCCUGUAGCUCGGAGUAGUUUGAUCGUCUGAAGCCUUCUUCUCUCAACUUGUCAAAGUCAUUCUCCGUCCAGCUUUGUUCCAUUGCUGGUGAGGAACUGUGUUCCUUUGGAGGAGGAGAGGCGCUCUGCUUUUUAGAGUUUUCCAGUUUUUCUGCUCUGUUUUUUUCCCCAUCUUUGUGGUUUUAUCUACUUUUGGUCUUUGAUGAUGGUGAUGUACAGAUGGGUUUUUGGUGUGGAUGUCCUUUCUGUUUGUUAGUUUUCCUUCUAACAGACAGGACCCUCAGCUGCAGGUCUGUUGGAGUUUGCUAGAGGUCCACUCCAGACCCUGUUUGCCUGGGUAUCAUCAGUGGUGGCUGCAGAACAGCGGAUUUUCGUGAACCGCGAAUGCUGCUGUCUGAUCGUUCCUCUGGAACUUUUGUCUCAGAGGAGUACCCGGCCGUGUGAGAUGUCAGUCUGCCCCUACUGGGGGUGCCUCCCAGUUGGGCUGCUCGGGGGUCAGGGGUCAGGGACCCACUUGAGGAGGCAGUCUGCCCAUUCUCAGAUCUCCAGCUGCGUGCUGGGAGAACCACUGCUCUCUUCAAAGCUGUCAGACAGGGACAUUUAAGUCUUCAGAGGUGACUGCUGUCUUUUUGUUUGUCUGUGCCCUGCCCCCAGAGGUGGAGCCUACAGAGGCAGGCAGGCCUCCUUGAGCUGUGGUGGGCUCCACCCAGUUCGAGCUUCCCGGCUGCUUUGUUUACCUAAGCAAGCCUGGGCAAUGGCGGGCGCCCCUCCCCCAGCCUCACUGCUGCCUUGCAGUUUGAUCUCAGACCGCUGUGCUAGCAAUCAGCGAGACUCCGUGGGUGUAGGACCCUCCAAGCCAGGUGCGGGAUAUAAUCUGCUGGUGCGCUGUUUUUUAAGCCCAUCAGAAAAGCGCAGUAUUAGGGUGGGAGUGACCCAAUUGUCCAGGUGCCCUCUGUUACCCCUUUCUUUGACUAGGAAAGGGAACUCCCCGACCCCUUGCGCUUCCCGAGUGAGGCAAUGCCUCGCCCUGCUUCGGCUCACGCACGGUGCGCUGGACCCACUGUCCUGCGCCCACUGUCUGGCACUCCCUAGUGAGAUGAACCUGGUACCUCAGAUGGAAAUGCAGAAAUCACCCGUCUUCUGUGUCACUCACGCUGGGAGGUGUAGACCGGAGCUGUUCCUGUUCGGCCAUCUUGGCUGCCAGCGCUUUCCCUAUUUCUACAGUUCUUAACGCACAGCUAACCUCUUACUCCAACUGAAAGGCUUCCCUAAACUUUCCAAAUUAACGUGCUUUUAAAAUACAGUGCCAAAAAGCCCAAGUGUAAGGGCUUGACUCAGAGAAGCUCCAUUCUGCGGCCACAGUCUACAGUACCACAGAUCCUCAGCCCCAACCAGCCAUGUCACCCAUGCAUGUGGCUGGCCAUAAACCAGUCAGCUGAGGACUAUGAAAGGAAGUUCAGUAUACACUGAGCAACACUACUGGUAAAAAAUAUUUAAAGGACUAGUCUCAAUGAAAGACAGUCUGAUGUAAGUUAAAUAAGUCAUGUCUUUGCUAAAAGACCAGCACAUUCAUUUUAUACUUAUAACCUUGCUCAGCCUAACACUUCAUUUUAUGCAAAGCCUGAUAAUGCAUGACCUUUCCUACUUUGUGUUACUCUCUCAGCUUCUUUUUUGUUCUAGUCUGUACUUCUCAAAGUAUUAGCCUACAUAUUCAGAUAGAAUAAUAAUUAUUUAUUAUUUUAAAAAAUCCUUUAGCCUUAGAGGCAGCUAUUCUUUAAAUUUUAAGUAAUUAUUCUCCAUUUUGGCUGCACAUUAGAAUAACCUAGGGGAACUUUUAGAAAAUACUCAUGCUUGUAUCUCACCCUCCAGAGAUUCUGAUUUAAUUUGCCUGGGGUAGAGGGAGAUCUUAGGCAGCAACCCAGUGAUUCUAAGCAGUCAGGAUUGAGAAAUACUGCUUUAGACAAAGCCGUGCUUCUCAGUCUUGACUGCACAUUGGAAUCAUCCAGGGAGCUUUAAAAGAUACUGAUGCUUAGGUCCCACCCUAGAGAUUCUGAUGUAAUUGGUAUAGAAUGCUGUUAUAGCUAUUGAAAUUUCAGAAGUUCCCCCAGCAGUUUCUAAGGUACGACCAAAGUGGAAAAGUCUUGUUUAGAGGAAAGAACUGACCUGGGGUCAGAAGCCUUGGGUUUGGAGUCUCUCCUCUAUCUCUUAUUAGCUAUGAAACCUUGGACAAUUUACAUAACCUCCCAAAACCUUUGUUUUCUAAUCUUUAAAAUGGGGUCAAUAGCACCUACCUCACAUGAUUGUUUUAAGGAUUAAGUGAAACAAUGUAGGUUAAAAUAUGUUUCAAAUUUAAAUAACUAUAUAAAAAUAUUGAGAGCCCCCAUAUAAGAGGCUGGGGACUUCAAAUAUUUAUUUACUUACAUUAUGUUCAGGAAAAUACACAUGUAUAAUAAUGCUUCUUGAACUUUUUCGUAGAAUUUUUAAAAUAAAUAUAAGAAGAAAAACAUUCAGUAGGAUGUGUACUGUACCUAUUCAGUUAAUCAUGUUACUGUUUAAUCAUUACUACAAUACUCCCCUUCUCUAUCAUCAGUCCUUAAUCCCAGGGAUUUCAUCCAAAUUAAGAAGGGAUCAGGAAAAUUUGAUUCAACAAGUAUUUAUUGUCUAUUAUACACAAAUUUGGUGCUGGGGGCUGUGGGAAACAGAAGAGAAUUAGGAAGCAAGAGUUCCUGCAUUGAAGACAGGCACAGUGGCUCAAGCCUGUAAUCCCAGCACUUUGCGAGUCUGAGGUAGGCGGAUCCACCUGAGGUCAGGAGUUUGAGACCAGCCUGGCCAACAUGGUGAAACCCAUCUCUACUAAAAAAAAAAUACAAAAAUUACCUGGGUGUGGUGGUGCAUGUCUGUAGUCCCAGCUACUUGGGAGGCUGAGGCAAGAGAAUUGCUUGAGAACCCAUGUGGCAGAGAUUGCAGUGAGCUGAGAUCAUACCACUGCACUCCAGCUUGGGGUUCACAGCGAGACUGUCUAAAAAAAAAAAAAAAAAAAAAAAGUUCCUGCAUUGAGGAACUUAUCUGGUUAAGGAGAAAAUGUAUAUACAUUCGAAGUGGUUAUAUAAAGCAAAGUGGCUGUCUAAUUAAGUAUAGAAUUAAUUGUGAGAAAGGACUAUAGGGAUUCAGAUAAGCAAGAGCUCAUUAUGACCUGGAAUGGCUGGAGAAAACAGUAUGAUAAAGGAGGUCUUCAGGUAAGCCUUACAGGAGGCUAAGAUUUAGAUAAGUUUAGAAAAAUAACUUAAAGUAGGGAUAAUACUAUGAGAAAAAUACAGAAGCAGAAAUGAGCAUGGCACGUAUAGGGAACAGUGAAAAAGUAUCUAGGCUAAAAUACAGGUAACUGGUUGAAGACAUGGCUAGUUAAAUAAGACUAGACUGUGGAAGAUUUUUAGUGUCUUGCAGAGAUGUCUGACCUUUAUUCAGUGUGUUCUGGAAAGCCACUUAAGGCUUUUGCAUACAGAAGUGAUCUAUGGAUGAGAUGCCAUAAGAAGGAUAAUUGGCUAAUAAUGAAGAGGAUGAAUUAGAUAGAGAGACUGGAUAUAAGAGCAGCAGUUAGGAGUCUAUUCAGGAAUCCAGAGAGGUGAUACUGACAUGGCAUUGGUGACCUCUCAAAAGGAAAAGGAACAUUUGAAGAAAUAAUUAAUGGGUUGUUUUGUUUUUUUGAGAUGGAGUCUCACUAUUUUGCCCAGGCUGGAGUGCAGUGGCGCAGUCUUGGCUCACUGCAACCUCAGCCUCCUGAGUAGCUGGGAUUACAGGUGCAUGCCACCACACCCGGCUAUUUUUUGUAUUUUUAGUAGAGACAAGGUUUCACCAUGUUGGCCACGGUGCUCUAGAACUCCUGACCUCAAGUGAUCCAUCCACCUUGGCCUCCCAAAGUACUGGGAUUACAGGCAUGAGCCACUGCACCUGGCCUGAAUUAAUGAGUUUUAAUAUGUUGCCAUUAGGAGUGAAGACUGAUGCUUACUGAAAAAUGACUAGAUUUUUAAGGUAAAAACUGUAGUAAGGUCUUCCUGUAAGGUCUUUAUUUUUGAUAGUCUAUAUGUUUUUAUUUUUUUAAUAUCAGUAUAUGUAUAUAUUUUUCUAUCAAAAUAUAGUGAUUUCAAAUGCCUGAAAGUUCAUGUGACUUAAGUAAAUCUUUCAUAAAAUACCUGAUUUUAAAUUUGUUGAUAAAAACAGAAAUGUCUUCAGAAUUGUCAGCAUACAUUUUUUGCCUGGGUUUACUGAUCAGAUAGUUUUGCAUUUCUCUGUGCUAGAUGUUUUAAGCAGGAUUUGACCAAAAGGUCACAAAACUAUAUAUCCAGCCUAAAAUCAGAAUGAUCUUUGUGUAACUCUUUGAUAAGUAAAACUAAUUUAAUAUAGUUGAUUUAAUGAAGAUAGCUGUUUUCAGUUUUUGGCAAAAUAUUUAUAUAAUUAGCUUUAAGAUUUCUACUUAGGUGAACACCCGAAAUUCACAUGCUGUAAAACUGAUUAACAGAAAGAUACCUUGACAUAAUGACUAACUCUAUCUAAUAUCUUAGUUUUCAUAAGUAAUCUAUGUGUAGUUAAAAAAUAAGUUAGAUGAAUGUAAAUGGGAUAAAUUUAUAAAUGAACUUUUCAUGUGAUUUUAAAUCCUAAAGUUACAUUAUAUUAAAUUAAGUAAUAGAUACUCAUGAAAUGUCUGAGUCAUUUCUAAGUAAGAUAAAAUACUGAAACAUAAAUUGCUAAACAUUAGUAUAAGUUGGUUCUUGGUUUCUUAAAUUGCAUAGAAAGACAAAACAUACUUGGGUCUAUUAGUAAAUAGUAAACUCCACAUUCAAAAAUUGUUCCAUAAAAAAUUUUUUUUAGAGAUUAUAAACUAUAUAUUCAUGAGAUGUUAAUAUAUAACAGUUCAAAAUUACUUACUUCCAGAGUAACCUAAAGCUUAAGGUUACUAAAAAUUAAGUUUUUAUUAAGGCUGGGCACAGUGGCUCAUGCCUGUAAUCCCAGCACUUUGGGAG